rnacentral:rRNA from 1 species
CCUGGCUCAGGAUGAACGCUGGCGGCGUGCCUAAUACAUGCAAGUCGAACGCUUCACUUCGGUGAAGAGUGGCGAACGGGUGAGUAAUACAUAAGUAACCUGGCAUCUACAGGGGGAUAACUGAUGGAAACGUCAGCUAAGACCGCAUAGGUGUAGAGAUCGCAUGACCUCUAUAUGAAAAGUGCUACGGGACUGGUAGAUGAUGGACUUAUGGCGCAUUAGCUUGUUGGUAGGGUAACGGCCUACCAAGGCGACGAUGCGUAGCCGACCAGAGAGGGUGACCGGCCACACUGGGACUGAGACACGGCCCAGACUCCUACGGAAGGCAGCAGUAGGGAAUUUUCGGCAAUGGAGGAAACCCUGACCGAGCAACGCCGCGUGAAGGAAGAAGUAAUUCGUUAUGUAAACUUCUGUCAUAGAGGAAAAACGGUGGAUAUAGGCAAUGAUAUCCAAGUGACGGUACUCUAUAAGAAAGCCGCGGCUAACUACGUGCCAUCAGCCGCGGUAAUACCUAGGUGGCGAGCGUUAUCCGGAAUUAUUGGACGUAAAGAGCUAGCAGGCUGCACUAAGGGUCUGUGGUGAAAGAUCGAAGCUUAACUUCGGUAAGCCAUGGAAACCGUAGAGCUAGAGUGUGUGAGAGGAUCGUGGAAUUCCAUGUGUAGCGGUGAAAUGCGUAGAUAUAUGGAGGAACACCAGUGGCGAAGGCGACGAUCUGGCGCAUAACUGACGCUCAGUCCCGAAAGCGUGGGGAGCAAAUAGGAUUAGAUACCCUAGUAGUCCACGCCGUAAACGAUGAGUACUAAGUGUUGGGGGUCAAAGCUCAGUGCUGCAGUUAACGCAAUAAGUACUCCGCCUGAGUAGUACGUUCGCAAGAAUGAAACUCAAAGGAAUUGACGGGGGCCCGCACAAGCGGUGGAGCAUGUGGUUUAAUUCGAAGCAACGCGAAGAACCUUACCAGGUCUUGACAUCGAUCUAAAGGCUCCAGAGAUGGAGAGAUAGCUAUAGAGAAGACAGGUGGUGCAUGGUUGUCGUCAGCUCGUGUCGUGAGAUGUUGGGUUAAGUCCCGCAACGAGCGCAACCCCUGUUGCCAGUUGCCAGCAUUAAGUUGGGGACUCUGGCGAGACUGCCGGUGACAAGCCGGAGGAAGGCGGGGAUGACGUCAAAUCAUCAUGCCCCUUAUGACCUGGGCUACACACGUGCUACAAUGGACAGAGCAGAGGGAAGCGAAGCCGCGAGGUGGAGCGAAACCCAUAAAACUGUUCUCAGUUCGGACUGCAGUCUGCAACUCGACUGCACGAAGAUGGAAUCGCUAGUAAUCGCGAAUCAGCAUGUCGCGGUGAAUACGUUCUCGGGCCUUGUACACAC